UACGUAGGGGGCAAGCGUUGUCCGGAAUUAUUGGGCGUAAAGGGCACGCAGGCGGUGGUUUAAGUUUGGUGUUUAAUCCCAGGGCUCAACCCUGGUACGCACUGAAAACUGGAUCACUUGAGUACAGAAGAGGAGAGUGGAAUUCCACGUGUAGCGGUGAAAUGCGUAGAGAUGUGGAGGAACACCAGUGGCGAAGGCGACUCUCUGGUCUGUAACUGACGCUGAGGUGCGAAAGCGUGGGUAGCAAACAGG
rnacentral:rRNA from 1 species